CAGCUUCUGAAUUUAUCAGUUCAAGAUUGUGGAGAACAAUGUGCCAGAACGCCCAAUUGUGAUUCCUUUUCUUAUCAACCCAAGACGAACCCCAGGGAAUGUUAUUUGUAUCGGAAGAGAGUUUGGGCAGGACAGACACCUGCGGUUAAUAGAGAAGGCUUGGUGACGUAUUGGCGGUUAGCAGACCGCUGUCCAUCAGAAUACAUUUUGAAUACAACCUACAAUAUAUGUUUCAAGGCCUAUAUUGAUGCCACUGACGCGGCGAUAUGGAACAAAGCUAUGACACAAUGUGAAAACGAUGGCGGAUAUCUCUUUAUUGGAAAUUCUAAGAGCAGAUUACUAAUGGUGUCCGAUUUUGUCCAGAAUUUAACAGUGUACAGUCGCUUGACGUAUUUUGGUGGAACUGAUUUAUACGUAGAAGGAACAUGGGAAUGGUUGGAUGGCUCUACUGCAUUUUAUUGGCGUACAGGUGAACCUCAUGGUGCCGGAGAGCAUUGUAGUACAGUAUUGACACAUAACCCAGUUGGGGGAUUUGGUGACGUAAUGUGUGAUCGCGUCAACGGUUUCCUGUGUGAGAUACCCAUAUAGAUGUGCGUGGUUUUCUUUUUAGGCCUCGAAAAGUAAAUGAAGAGUCCAGGGGAAGAACGAUCUAAGUUUUGGACGAGAAUGCUUGACGCGAACAAAACAACGCGUGGGUUUAAUUACAACUUCAAAUGAUGUUUAAUAUGAACCAUAAUUACCAGUUUAACAACUGACUUCCACUUUUCAACACAAUUAUGGUCAAAUAAAGGGUACGAUGGACGUAUUAGUAGGGAGGCCAUCUCAGAAGGGCCCUGGUUCGAUGUGACUGAUCGUUUUUACCCGAGUGAAAUAGAUUGUUCCACAGAAAGCUUAUACAUUUUGCUACCAGAUGGCGCCAUUAACUGGGGUUUCUUGAAAACGUGACUUAGAUCGUUCUUCCCCGGAGCUCUUCAUAUAUUAAAGGCCGGAUGAUGUUCCAAUGGAACUGAAAGGGCUAGCCGCAUAAU